rnacentral:tRNA from 1 species
GGAGGGGUGUCCGAGUGGUUGAUGGAGCUCGUCUCGAAAACGAGUGGGUCAAAAGCCUCGCGGGUUCGAAUCCCGCCCCCUCCGCCG